UACGGGGGGGGCAAGCGUUGUUCGGAAUUACUGGGCAUAAAGGGCUCGUAGGCGGCCAACUAAGUCAGACGUGAAAUCCCCAGGCUCAACCUGGGAACUGCGUCUGAUACUGGAUGGCUUGAAUCCGGGAGAGGGAUGCAGAAUUCCAGGUGUAGCGGUGAAAUGCGUAGAUAUCUGGAGGAAUACCGGUGGCGAAGGCGGCAUCCUGGACCGGCAUUGACGCUGAGGAGCGAAGCUAGGGAGCAACGGG
rnacentral:rRNA from 1 species